GAGAGAGCGAUCUGGAGCAAAUCCCAAAAAUAAACGUCCCAGUUCGGAUUGUAGUCUGCAACUCGACUACAUGAAGCUGGAAUCGCUAGUAAUCGCGAAUCAGCAUGUCGCGGUGAAUACGUUCCCGGGCCUUGUACACACCGCCCGUCAAGCCAUGGAAGCCGGGAGUGCCUGAAGUGCGUGACCGCAAGGAGCGUCCUAAGGCAAUACCGGUGACUGGGGCUAAGUCGUAACAAGGUAGC
rnacentral:rRNA from 1 species